rfam:Ciona savignyi cont_37481, whole genome shotgun sequence.
GCUUAUCACCAUUCCAGAUUGAAUAUACCCGAUCUCGUCUGAUCUCGGAAGUCAAGCAAUCUCGGGCUUGGUUAGUACUUAGAUGGGUGACCGCUUGGGAAUACCAAGUGUGCUACAGCU